GGAGGACUUACACUCUCGACAGAGGAGGGAGCUGGAACGUUUGGUGGUGGCUGGAACGCAUUUUUUUUUUAAUUGAGAUGGAAGGCUACGGGUGAAGGUGCAGCAGCCUGUAACACAACAGAUAUUUUUCACUUUUGCUGGAAUGGAUCUUUUGGGGAAAAGUUGAAAUAUGUUUUCAAUGGUUGGCAUUAGUUGAAUGAUAAAACACUUUUCCAUUUCUUUGAUUUUGUGCAAGCGCUGGAAUAAUGGGAGUUGCCGUUUAUUUUUUUUUUCUUUUUAUUGAAUGCAAGUUACAUUUAAUACUUUGAAGAAUUAAUUUCAUUUGAAGAUGGAAUGUGGUUACGGGUUGGAAGGGACGUGAGAGUUUUUUUUUUUCUUUUUCUUUGUGUUUUCAAUGAAUGAAAGUUUGAUUAGGUGGGAGGCUAGAUGAUAGGACUCUUGGCAGCAGAAUGGGUGUAGCUUUUUUUUCUUUUAUUUAUUUUGGAAUGAAGAAAUAGUGAUUGGAUGGAACUAGGUAGAUGGUGUACGGUGGUUAAAUUUGAGAGAAGUUUUUUUCCAUUGCAAGAUAGCACUAUCACGCACCUUAAUUUACUUUUGCCGAAUUACUCAUUGCAUUUUCAUUUGGAAAUGCUCCUUGGAUUGAGCGUGCACACGGUCUCAUGAAAAGAGGGCAUUCCUAACAUCUGCGUUCAUUGCAUUAUAGGUUGGUACAACAUUGGUAUUUUAAAUCCUUUGAUAACAUUUGGUUUACACGUGUGAUUGUUUUCGGUGAAGAGGUGACAAUUUCUUUUUGAUUCUUAAUAGCAUUUUGUUUAUUAUUUUAAUGUUGCAUCUUUAAUUGAUUCAUGCAUUCUUUUUUUUUUUUAUUAAUUUUGCUACAUUGCAUGCUUUAGAGAAAUGAGCAUUUCAUAUUUUUUUUUAGCUCAAUUUUCAAUUUAAUAGCACUGAUGUAUUUUUUUUAUUUAUUUCUUCCACUUCAAUUUAUCAUGCACUUUAAUCAUUUAAUUUUAUUUCCAAGUUGCAUCAUGCAUUUGGUUACUAACACACGCAUUGUCUUUUUAAUUAAAGUGGAUGAAUUUUAGGUUUAUUUACUGCAUUUUAGUUUCGGUUCAUUGAUACUUUGAUUGGCUUGAAAUCUUUUGCUUUUCUUUGCUUGGGAAGAUGAUUAUGAUGUUUGAGAGGGUCAUUGAUUGUAACAGAAAUACCCUGUGUGAGGAUUUGAGCCACUUGAUAUUCUUUCUUGUGUGUGAUAUGUCUCUUGAUUGCUUGCACAUAUGCCUUGGCUUGACUCUUGUUGAUUAUUCUUGAUUGAUAUGCUUGUUUGGAAGUGAUAAAGGCGAUUUUGUUGUUGAGCCUCUCUAGCCAAAUGAGCCUACCCUGUUUUGAUCCUUUAAUAGCCCUUUUGAGCCUAUACUUUUCCCAUUUCUUUGUUUUGAAGCUCAUGCACUAGCCUUAUGUGAAAAAACCAUGAUUACUUUAACCUUAGGGAAUUUUGGAGCUUUGGAAUUGUUUUGGGAAUAAGUGUGGUCUCUUGGGAAAUUCAGAUGAAUUGGCUAGUCGGUUCCUCUUCUUGCUUUUGUUUUGUGAAUAUUAUGAGUAUCUUUUCUCUUACAAUUGUGCUCUGAAAAGUGAGAAAAGAAAAGAGACAAGAUGAAAAAAAAAAAAGAAAAAAAAUACAGAAAAAUAAGAAAAUUAAAAAAAUUGUUGUGUGAAUAAUGGAGUCAAGAAGAGGAUUGAAUUAGAGGGUUUGGGUGUGAUUAGAUUGUGUUUACACUUGUUCCCCAUUGCUCCUCUAUUUCUUUUGGUUUGUAGCUUCUCAUCCAUAUUUAUCCUCCCUUGUCCUUGGC
rnacentral:lncRNA from 1 species